GAUGGGAGCUUGCUCCCUGAUGUUAGCGGCGGACGGGUGAGUAACACGUGGGUAACCUGCCUGUAAGACUGGGAUAACUCCGGGAAACCGGGGCUAAUACCGGAUGGUUGUUUGAACCGCAUGGUUCAAACAUAAAAGGUGGCUUCGGCUACCACUUACAGAUGGACCCGCGGCGCAUUAGCUAGUUGGUGAGGUAACGGCUCACCAAGGCAACGAUGCGUAGCCGACCUGAGAGGGUGAUCGGCCACACUGGGACUGAGACACGGCCCAGACUCCUACGGGAGGCAGCAGUAGGGAAUCUUCCGCAAUGGACGAAAGUCUGACGGAGCAACGCCGCGUGAGUGAUGAAGGUUUUCGGAUCGUAAAGCUCUGUUGUUAGGGAAGAACAAGUACCGUUCGAAUAGGGCGGUACCUUGACGGUACCUAACCAGAAAGCCACGGCUAACUACGUGCCAGCAGCCGCGGUAAUACGUAGGUGGCAAGCGUUGUCCGGAAUUAUUGGGCGUAAAGGGCUCGCAGGCGGUUUCUUAAGUCUGAUGUGAAAGCCCCCGGCUCAACCGGGGAGGGUCAUUGGAAACUGGGGAACUUGAGUGCAGAAGAGGAGAGUGGAAUUCCACGUGUAGCGGUGAAAUGCGUAGAGAUGUGGAGGAACACCAGUGGCGAAGGCGACUCUCUGGUCUGUAACUGACGCUGAGGAGCGAAAGCGUGGGGAGCGAACAGGAUUAGAUACCCUGGGUAGUCCACGCCGUAAACGAUGAGUGCUAAGUGUUAGGGGGUUUCCGCCCCUUAGUGCUGCAGCUAACGCAUUAAGCACUCCGC
rnacentral:rRNA from 1 species